rnacentral:rRNA from 1 species
GAACCGUGCGAACGUUGUUCGGAAUCACUGGGCUUAAAGGGCGCGUAGGCGGGCGUCCAGGCCCGCGGUGAAAUCCCCCGGCUCAACCGGGGAAGGGCCGCGGGGACCGGGCGUCUGGAGUGAGGUAGGGGCGUGCGGAACUGUGGGUGGAGCGGUGAAAUGCGUUGAUAUCCACAGGAACUCCGGUGGCGAAGGCGGCACGCUGGACCUCGACUGACGCUGAGGCGCGAAAGCCAGGGGAGCGAACGGGAUUAGAUACCCCGGUAGUCCUGGCCCUAAACGUUGGGGACUGGGUAGCAGGCCGGACAUGGGCUUGCUGCCGGAGCGAAAGUGUUAAGUCCCCCGCCUGGGGAGUAUGGUCGCAAGGCUGAA